CCUUUGAUAGCGAAGACAAUAUCUAAUGCUGUGUAUAUAAAGCUUCAAAAAUAUUGGUUAAAUCAAUUGCCAGAGACAGAAAUGGGAAAGUUCCAGUUGUCCAGCAUGUAAUUUGGAGAAAAAAAAAGAACACGCUGUCUUCAGGAUAGGUCCUUGACAACUAUUUUUUGAAGAGCUAUGGGCCAGGAUCUGAGCUGGGAUUUUUAAUCUGUAUUCUCAAUAUGCAUGGAAUAUAUGUGUCAGAAUCUAGCCAUUAUGCAGGAAGACCACUGCUGGACUUGAGAAAAAUUUCCACAAUGCACUAUUUUCAAUUAUGGACAUAUUAGAAAAGAGUAUUCUACAUUUUGUGCCACAUUUUCUGAAUCCAGUCUAUCAUUGUUGGAGAUUUGGGUUGGUUACAAGUCUUUGCUAUUGUGAAUAGUGCCGCAAUAAACAUACAUGUGCAUGUGAAAA